CUUGAGGUCUAUCCCAAUGUGGCUUUUUCUUUAGAUCCAUGUUGUUGGAAAUGCCUCACAGAGUAACUAUGUCAUUUGGCUUUACUCACAGAACUAUCUGUUAGAUCUGUGGGAAGAAACUACAAAACAGAU
rnacentral:snoRNA from 1 species